rnacentral:rRNA from 1 species
UACAUAGGGUGCAAGCGUUGUCCGGAUUUAUUGGGCGUAAAGAGCUCGUAGGCGGCACGGUAAGUCAGAAGUUAAAACGCAGAGCUCAACUCUGCGUCGCUUUUGAUACUGCCGAGCUUGAGUAUGGCAGGGGAGAUUGGAAUUCCACGUGUAGCGGUGAAAUGCGCAGAUAUGUGGAGGAACACCAGUGGCGAAGGCGAAUCUCUGGGCCAUUACUGACGCUGAGGAGCGAAAGCGUGGGGAGCGAACGGG